AUAGUGUGCUUGAUGAAAAAGAUUACUUUGAUAGAGUAAAUAAUGGAUUUUUAUAAUCCCACUAUCAA
rnacentral:tRNA from 1 species